CGUAGCCUUCGAAUGCACAAAGUGACAAUAACAAACGUACAUGCCGAAAGAGAAGAAAGAUAUGGAUCAGAUUGGAUAGUCCACGAAAUUACGCUCAAUUUAUGGUUUGAGAGCUGUGAAACAAAGCAAAAUAACAAGAAUUGAAAAUAAUAAACAAUAUAACCUUGUCUCUGCAUGUCUAGAACGUGAAGAUCAGCGAUAUAUUGAAAGAUCAAUUAUUGAAAAUAUAAACUGAGCUUUGUUGGCCUUUGUGGUAAUUUCAUUGCAGAUUUUUCUUUUAAUCCACCCAAAUCGUAAAAUUCAAUGGAAGAAUCAUCAGCAUAUAAAUGGCUGUUGAUGACUCUGGACAGUUCUCGUGUUGCAACGUUGGUUGUAUCAGUUGUUCUUAUUAUUUAUGGCAGUUUUAGAUCUCUUUCUGUUGAAUCAUCAAAACAAUAUGAAGGUGAUAAUGCAGAGAGUGAAACUUCAAAUUCUUCAUUCUUAUUUUU